rnacentral:rRNA from 1 species
UGGUCAAGUUAUUAAGGGUGCAGGGCGGAUGCCUUGGCACUAGGAGCCGAUGAAGGACGUGAUAAGCUGCGAUAAGCUUCGGGGAGUUGCACGUAAACUUUGAUCCGAAGAUUUCCGAAUGAGGAAACUCACUUAGAGUAAUGUCUAAGUAUCAUUAAGUGAAUACAUAGCUUAAUGAGGGGAACUCAGGGAACUGAAACAUCUAAGUACCUGAAGGAAGAGAAAGAAAUUCGAUUCCGUAAGUAGCGGCGAGCGAACGCGGAUUAGCCCAAACCAAUAAAGUUUUCUUUAUUGGGGUUGAGGACAUACCACAUAUAAGAGGUCAUUAUAGACGAAGAAGUUUGGAAAAACUCAUCAUAGAAGGUAAUAAUCCUGUAGUCAAAAUAAUAAUUCUUUAGGUAUGAUCCAGAGUACCACGGGACACGUGAAACCCUGUGGGAAGCAGGAGGGACCACCCUCCAAGGCUAAAUACUACCUAGUGACCGAUAGCGUAUAGUACCGUGAGGGAAAGGUGAAAAGAACCCCGGGAGGGGAGUGAAAUAGAACCUGAAACCCUGCACUUACAAGCUGUGGAAGCACAUUUCUUGUGUGACCGCGUACUUUUUGUAGAACGGGCCAACGAGUUACGUUAAGUAGCAAGGUUAAGCACUUAAGGUGUGGAGCCGUAGCGAAAGCGAGUUUUAACUGAGCGUUCAGUUACUUGACGUAGACCCGAAACCGGGCGACCUACCCAUGAGCAGGAUGAAGCGAAAGUAAAAUUUCGUGGAGGUCCGAACCCACGAGCGUUGAAAAGCUCGGGGAUGACUUGUGGGUAGCGGUGAAAUUCCAAUCGAGCCCGGAGAUAGCUGGUUCUCCCCGAAAUAGCUUUAGGGCUAGCCUCAAGGUGAGAGAUACGGAGGUAGAGCACUGAAUGUCCUAGGGGGUAUUGCACCUACCGAAGACUAUCAAACUCCGAAUGCCGUCAUCUUAUACUUGGGAGUCAGACUGUGGGUGAUAAGAUUCAUAGUCGAAAGGGCAACAGCCCAGAUCGUCAGCUAAGGUCCCUAAAUGUAAGUUAAGUGGUAAAGGAUGUGGGAUUGCACAGACAACCAGGAUGUUGGCUUAGAAGCAGCCACUCAUUCAAAGAGUGCGUAAUAGCUCACUGGUCGAGUGAUCCUGCGCCGAAGAUUUCCGGGGCUAAAACUUACUACCGAAGCUACGGCAUCAAUAAUGAUGGGUAGGGGAGCUUCCCAUACGGGUUGAAGCAUGACCGUAAGGACAUGUGGACAGUAUGGGAGUGAGAAUGUUGGCAUGAGUAGCGAGAUGUGGGUGAGAAUCCCACAGGCCGUAAACCCAAGGUUUCCAGGGGGAAGGUUCGUCCGCCCUGGGUUAGUCGGGACCUAAGCUGAGGCCGAAAGGCGUAGGUGAUGGACAACAGGUUGAUAUUCCUGUACUACCGAUAACCGUUUGAGAGAAGGGAUGACACAGUAGGAUAAGCUAAGCACACUGUUGGUUAUGUGUGCCCAAGCAUUGAGGCAGUCAAAGUAGGCAAAUCCGCUUUGAUAAUGCUAGGAUGUGAUGGGGAGCGAAAUUUAGUAGCGAAGUAGCUGAUUUCACACUGUCAAGAAAAGUCUCUAUCGAGGUUAAAGGUACCCGUACCGCAAACCGACACAGGUGGGUGAGGAGAGUAUCCUAAGGCCAGCGAGAGAACUGUUGUUAAGGAACUCGGCAAAAUGACCCCGUAACUUAGGGAUAAGGGGUGCCACCAUCAGGUGGCCGCAGAGAAUAGGCCCAAGCGACUGUUUACCAAAAACAUAGGUUUCUGCUAAGUCGCAAGACGAUGUAUAGGAGCUGACGCCUGCCCGGUGCUGGAAGGUUAAGGGGAUCUGUUAGAGCAAUCGAAGCAGUGAACUUAAGCCCCAGUAAACGGCGGCCGUAACUAUAACGGUCCUAAGGUAGCGAAAUUCCUUGUCGGGUAAGUUCCGACCCGCACGAAAGGCGUAACGAUUUGGGCACUGUCUCAACAACAGACUCGGUGAAAUUGUAAUUCCGGUGAAGAUGCCGGAUACCUGCGACAGGACGGAAAGACCCCAUGGAGCUUUACUGUAGCUUGACAUUGGGUCUUGGUACUACAUGUACAGGAUAGGUGGGAGGCUUUGAAACCAGGACGCCAGUUUUGGCGGAGCCAUCCUUGGGAUACCACCCUUGUAGUACUGGGACUCUAACCAUAGGCCAUGAAUCUGGUCUUGGGACACUGUCAGGUGGGCAGUUUGACUGGGGCGGUCGCCUCCCAAAAGGUAACGGAGGCGCUCAAAGGUUCUCUCAGUACGGUCGGAAAUCGUACGUAGAGUGUAAAGGCAAAGAGAGCUUGAUUGCAAGACAUACAGGUCGAGCAAGGAUGAAAAUCGGACUUAGUGAUCCGGUGGUUCUGCGUGGAAGGGCCAUCGCUCAACGGAUAAAAGCUACCCUGGGGAUAACAGGCUUAUCUCCCCCAAGAGUCCACAUCGACGGGGAGGUUUGGCACCUCGAUGUCGGCUCAUCACAUCCUGGGGCUGUAGUAGGUCCCAAGGGUUGGGCUGUUCGCCCAUUAAAGUGGUACGCGAGCUGGGUUCAGAACGUCGUGAGACAGUUCGGUCCCUAUCCGUCGCAGGCGUAGGAAAUUUGAGAAGACCUGUCCUUAGUACGAGAGGACCGGGAUGGACGUACCUCUGGUGUACCAGUUGUCCUGCCAAGGGCAUGGCUGGGUAGCUAUGUACGGAAUGGAUAAGCGCUGAAAGCAUCUAAGCGCGAAGCCAACUUCAAGAUAAGAUUUCCCACCGCAAGGGUAAGACCCCAGAAAGACUAUCUGGUUGAUAGGUCGAAGGUGUAAGUGCAGCAAUGUAUUUAGCUUAUCGAUACUAAUAGGUCGAGGACUUGACCAAU